CUGCAGCUGAUGCAUAGUUCACACACCCUAGUCUCUGUAAGUAACCUUGGAUAAAGGCGUCUGCUAAAUAAACAAAUAAUACUGCUAUUUAAUGUGCAGUUGCGCUUACUACUAGUUUGAUUGACGAGUACCGCCCAUGUGACUGCGUUUGUUUUCGUAUGGUGAUGGCUUCUUGUCUGAGCUCUGCUGCUGACUAGCUGCCUGGGAGAAACAACAUGGAAAAGGAGAGCUACCCCAAACAAACCCGCCACAGAAGAAAGAGAAAGUGAAAACCAAAGAGUGGAGAAGGGAAAUAAAUCCUCACGCUGACUGGGAAUGCUGUUUUUAUACCACCUGCCAGAGGACAUUCUCUACCUCGUCCUCUAUCUGGACUGCCAGACUGAACAGUUUGUCCCAAGUGUGCAAGAACCUGUACAACUUCACCAGCAGGGACGAUGUUUGGAAGAGGAUGAGGAACUCCACAAGGGAGAGUCAUAUUUCCUAGGAUCCCUCUAAAGGACAGGGUGAAGAUAUCUCAGAACUGGUGCAGAGGAUGUUGCAGGAAGGAAGCUGUCCUCAAAUGGAAGAACAACUUGUUGCCAUGGAUACAGUUAGAUGGCGGUGUUCUGUAGCUGUCUCAGGCAGCAGACAUCAGAUCGUACCAACUGAGACCAGAUGGCGGGGGGCUCCAGCGGAAGCCUGUGGCUGUGUACUCUGGGCAGAGAGAAGAUGUGUUUCAUCAUGACAGAGUCUCACCUGAUCAGUGCAGGAGUGUACGAGACGGGAAGAUCAUUCUGCACCAGAAACAGGGCUCGUUCAGCAUGGAGUACUCUACUCACAACCAGGAGGUGAAGUGCAUUGACAGCAAGGGAGGGGUCAUUGUCAGCAGUUCAAAGGACAAGAUAGCGCGGCUGUGGUCCCUGUCUUCCACCAGACAAGGCGAGUGUUUGCAUACAAUCCCGACUCUUGAUUUUGGUCACUGGCCAUUAGUCCCUCGCAAAGGUAGAGAAGUUGUCUUUUGCGUGUGUUCAUCUUUGUCAUUGGCUCAUUAAUACACCGCCAACCUGAAAGGCCAACUCUCUCUGUAAAGUACAGACCUGUUUCAGAAUUCUGUUUGUAACAACUAGGCCAGGUUUGUGAGGUUUUGCUUUUACUAUUGUUGGUCAAGAAAAGUUUUACUAUUUAUGUGGUAGUGCAUUUUUUUUGUCAAGCCUAAAUGUAUACUUUCUUUUUAUUUUAAUCUGUUCUUAACCCAUAUGUACAUCUAAAGCUGUUUAAUUUCCACCAGGGUUGAGGUUAAUUCCUGUUAUUCAUCUCCAAUUCCUUUUUAAAAUCAAUUCCCAAUUCCUAUUCCUUCGAAGGAAUUGGAAUUGAUAUUUUAGAGACAUAAUAACUGUUGUGAUUGUUCAGCUGCUUUCGUUUGAAGCCAGUUUAAUUGACUAACAAUGUCUUAAAUUAAAGUAAUUUGUUGCCACUGUGAGAAGCUCAUUUUAACAGAAUGCUGCUAAUUGCAAUUGUAAUCAGUGCUGUGUUGGAAUGCAUUAAAAGGGAAUGGGAAUGGGAAUUGGGAAAUAUGAAUUGACCCCAAUCCUGAUUUCCAGCACAUUGUACUAUGAAUGAGCAUUUCAUUUGAUUUACUAUUUAAUGUCCAAUAUCCAUACAUGAACAAGGGAUAACAUACAGCUAAAUGUGGUCUGCGAAAAAUCUGAUUUAUAAAUACCUAUAUAAGGAUACCGGUUUUAAGAUCCACCCCUGUUUAGAUCAAUUAAAAACAACCCCCUCUAAUCAUAGCAUGAAAUAGUAACGAGAUUAAAAAAAAAAAAAAAAAAAAAAAAAAGUAAAUUAAAUAGGAAAGUUGUAAGCCGUGUGUUUUUUUGUUUCAGAUUUUAACUGUGAUGUGAAAUCUUGCCACUCUGGUAUUUUAACCAGUCGUAUUUUAGUGGAAGAUGAUGUUACUAGUAUAAUAAACUUUCAAACUGAGCGAACAGUGGCAUCUAGUGGAUUCAUGAAAUGACAUUAACACGGCAUAUUCUCUGCCUCUCUCCCACCACAGGUAAUGGCUGCACAUCAGGUUGACUAGCAUCUAGAGAAAAAAGAAAAUACAGUUGACAAAAUAAGCACUAGUAAAUGGAGCAUGUGAGGUGAAAGCAUUGGAAUGUAUUUUAUAACACUGCUACAGUAGUAGACACGUUCUCAGUCACGUUCUCUCCGACGCUCAGAUCAAUAUUUGCUUGUUAUCUCCCACAAAAUGAG